AGAGUUUGAUCAUGGCUCAGAUUGUACGCUGGCGGCAGGCUUCACACAUGCAAGUCGAACGGUAACAGGAAGGAAGCUUGCUUUCUUUGCUGACGAGUGGCGGACGGGUGAGUAAUGCUUGGGAAUCUGGCUUAUGGAGGGGGAUAACUACGGGAAACUGUAGCUAAUACCGCGUAAUAUCUUCGGAUUAAAGGGUGGGACUUUCGGGCCACCUGCCAUAAGAUGAGCCCAAGUGGGAUUAGGUAGUUGGUGGGGUAAAGGCCUACCAAGCCGACGAUCUCUAGCUGGUCUGAGAGGAUGACCAGCCACACUGGAACUGAGACACGGUCCAGACUCCUACGGGAGGCAGCAGUGGGGAAUAUUGCACAAUGGGGGGAACCCUGAUGCAGCCAUGCCGCGUGAAUGAAGAAGGCCUUCGGGUUGUAAAGUUCUUUCGGUGACGAGGAAGGUGUUUGUUUUAAUAGAACAAGCGAUUGACGUUAGUCACAGAAGAAGCACCGGCUAACUCCGUGCCAGCAGCCGCGGUAAUACGGAGGGUGCGAGCGUUAAUCGGAAUGACUGGGCGUAAAGGGCACGCAGGCGGUGACUUAAGUGAGAUGUGAAAGCCCCGAGCUUAACUUGGGAAUUGCAUUUCAUACUGGGUCGCUAGAGUAUUUUAGGGAGGGGUAGAAUUCCACGUGUAGCGGUGAAAUGCGUAGGGAUGUGGAGGAAUACCGAAGGCGAAGGCAGCCCCUUGGGAAUAUACUGACGCUCAUGUGCGAAAGCGUGGGGAGCAAACAGGAUUAGAUACCCUGGUAGUCCACGCUGUAAACGCUGUCGAUUUGGGGAUUGGGCUUAGAGCUUGGUGCCCGUAGCUAACGUGAUAAA
rnacentral:rRNA from 1 species